rfam:Asian citrus Psyllid, Diaphorina citri - Florida Strain, whole genome shotgun sequence.
GCCUAGUUAGCUUAGUUGGGUAUAGUGCGUCUGCCUUGUAAGCGCUAGGCCGCGGGUUCGAUUCCCGCCCGGGGCG